ACCCAGCAACCCUUUACCCAUCUUCCUCCCAAACAAAAUAAUUCACCAUGUACACUCAUCAUACGCGUACACCUCCGAGUAUACGACCAGCACACCCCGUACUUGUCUUCAUCCAGAACAAACCCAACGAGCCCUAGCAGCUAGCGUGUUCCUCUUCUCUCUUCCAUCCCUUAUCCUCCGUAGGAUGGUUCUCGAAGGUGUCCAGAUGUUGCAAUCUCCUACUUCGCUCUCCCUUCAUCUUGAAAUUGAUGGAUCCCAUUCUCAAAUCCAUUAAGAAUUUGUUCCAAUUGGAACUCGAUUCGGCAUAUUCCUUGGUUCGAAUUUGAAUUUUGAAUUUUUAUCAGAUUUCCCCUCCAAUUUUGACCUAAUUUUCCCAUAUAAAUUCCCCUGUAUUCACUAUUUUGGGGACAGCUGGAGGACUCUUUAAGGGCACACGGUUCCAUCACCUAAAAAAUAGGAUUUUCUCAUCCGAAAUACAAGGAUUCAUUCUCUAAAACAGAGUAGUUUUCUAUUUCUUUUCCUUGAAUUCAAAUCUCUUUUGAUUGAUCGCCGGAGCUCAUUAAAUUUGGCUCACAAUGGUGGAAGGCUUCCAAGCUCGUCGUCAUCCAGUGUCACUGCUCCGAAAAAGGACUUCCUCUUUGCAUUUUGUUGGGUUGAAAAUCAACACUUUUUCAUCGAGCCAGGCUCAUCAAUCAUCCGAAGCAAAAGGAAGCUGAUAUGCAUGCAAAGGAAGCCAAAUGACAGGUUUUGGGAGGCAAGAAUUGAGUUUUAUACCUCAGUAUACAUUGGAUAUACAUUACAUACAACAAUAUACAUGAUAUAUAGUGAUUGUAUACAUAGUGAUACAAGGAGGAAAAUGGACCAAAGCCCAAAAUGAUUAGCAGCUGAAAGGCCUAACUCAAUCCAGGAGAAUAGAACCUGACUUUUGGGCCCAAAAUAGUCCACUUUGGACAUUUGUUAAAUUUAGAUAUUUAUUUCUUAAUUUAUUUAAUUGUUAUUUGUUAAAUUCUAA